rnacentral:lncRNA from 1 species
AGUUUGAAAUAGUAGAUAAUACUGCGGAAAACGAAAUCCCAAGUAAAUACAGCCAAAUGAUCCUGCAUCACAAGUCUGAGCCUAUAAGUAUUCUGAACAAUAUCCUAAACAUAGAAAAAAUCUAGACAUGGAAGCAAAAGAUAGAUAAGAGGAGACAUAAGGUUCUGCGGAUGCCAGCAGCUACCUUGAUAACUCUGGAACCGAUCCAGGCAAUAGAAAUAAGCACAGCUAAGCCUCCGGGAUCCCUGUAUUUGCACACAAGGUGCAAGAAGUAGAGUGAGUACUUCCAACUUAGUGACUAGUAGCAAUAAAUAAUAACUGAAUAUAAGAAAUCCGGUAAAAACACUAUACAGUUCUAUGUGCAACAGCAAGAACAGUAAAUAAGUACCGAACAGGGAGAAGAGUCUGAUAAAUACUUUCCUUUCCGUCCGACCAGUUAUUAACGCUGCUGCGACGCACAGCCCGAUCCAACCAUAUAUAUAUAUAUAUAUAUACACUACUGCGGCACGCAGCCCGAUCCAAUAUAAUAUAUAAAAUGAUGCGCUCACUAGGGGUGUGUACAGACUCCGGAGGGGCUCCUUCAGCCCAAGCGCUAAAAUACUGCAGUUUGCAGUCCGAUCAAUUGGGGCUCCUUCAGCCCAACUCCUAUCCUCGAGGCCUCUUGGCCUCCCUCUCCUCUCUCUCCUAACGGCGAGCCAUCUCAAUAUCGUGGGCUAUGUCCACCGCCUCCUCAAAGGUAUGACUCAGGACCCUCUCUCAAGUCAUCAGAAUACAAAUGGGAUAAAUGAGCCCGUCCACAAAUCGUCAGAUCCUCUCCUAAUCCGUCUGGACUAUCCACGUAGCAUGACGAUCUAACUCUGCAAAUAUCACCUCAUACUGCAUCACAGACAUAUCCCCAUGGCGAAGCAUCUCAAACUGCCUAUGUAACUCCUCCCUCUGCGACCGAGGUACCCACUUCUCCAAAAAGAUAGUGGAGAACUCCUGCCAAGAUAACGAUGCUGCAUCUACCAGCCUAUGCCUCUCAUAUGCCUCUCACCAGGUGAAGGAUGCUCUUGAGAACUGAAAAGUGGUAAACGAUACCCCACUAGUCUCCAAGAUCCUUGCAGUCCUGAGCAUGCGUCGACACUUGUCGAGAAACCCCUGGGCAUCCUCACCCGGAACACCGCUAAAAGUUGGAGGUGAAAGCGUGCUAAACCUCUCCAUACGACGCUGCUCGUCAUCUAGCAUCACUGGUACCCCAUCACUCUGAACUAGAACAACUGGAUGAACAGGGGCAACUGGCUUAACUGGUGGUGCCUCUGGGGUCUGCAAACCCUGUGCACCCUUCUCUGGAGUGCGAGCUGCGGGGGUCUGAUGACCACCCCGGUCUGGGAUAUAGCUGCGGUAGUAGUUGAGAUUGCCUGAGCCAGGCCGAUGCAAACUGAUAAGAUCUGAGCCAGGGCUUCCUGAAGACCCGGAAUCACAAUAGGCACUGUUAGUGCGUGAGCAGGUGCUACUGGAACCUCUACAGCUGGAGGCUGAUCCUGAACGGGGGCAACUAGUACGGCCCCUGCUGCUCUGCCUCGACCACGACCACGGCCGCGUCCCCGACCUCUAGUGGGUGGCAAUCGUGGUCGUCCGCCACGUCCGGUCGCACGGGUUCUCACUAUCUGCGAGAGAAUAAAAUACAGAAGUUUAGUCCUCAGAUCCACAAAGUUGCACGACAAGAAUUUCAAGAAUAUGAAGUUUUUCCUAAAGGUUUUGCAGCCUCCCGAGGAUAAGUACAGACGUCUCCGUACCGAUCCACGAGACUCUACUGAACCGGCUCAUGACUCACAGACCUGGUAACCUAGGCUCUGAUACCAACUUGUCACGAUCCGACCCAGGUUGUGAUGGCGCCAAACACCCUGUAAGGCAAGCCCGACCAUUUAUCAUUUCCAUACAAAAACAUUAAGUUAACUACUACUUUAAAGAUAAAAUCCCAUUUUGAAAUAGUAGAUAAUACUGUGGAAACGAAAUCCCAAGUAAAUACAGCCAAAGGAUCCGGCGUCACAAGUCUGAGCCUCUAAGUACUCUGAACAGUAUCCUAAACAUAGAAAAAAUCUAGACAUGGAAGCAAGAUAGAUAAGAGGAGACAUCAGGUUCUGUAGACGCCAGCAGCUACCUUGAUAACUCCGGAACCAAUCCAGGCAAUAGAAAUAAGCACAGCUAAGCCUCCGGGAUCCCUGUAUUUGCACACAAGGUGUAGGGAGUAGAGUGAGUACUUCCAACUCAGUGAGUAAUAGCAAUAAAUAAACAGCUAAGCCUCCGGGAUCCCUGUAUUUGCACACAAGGUGCAAGAAGUAGAGUGAGUACUUCCAACUUAGUGACUAGUAGCAAUAAAUAAUAACUGAAUAUAAGAAAUCCUGUAAAAACACUAUACAAUUCUAUUUGCAACAGCAAGAACAGUAAAUAAGUACCGAACAGGGAGAAGAAUCUGAUAAAUACUUUCCUUUCCGUCCGACCAGUUACUAAUGCUACUGUGGUGCGCAGCCCGAUCCAACCAUAUAUAUAUAUAUAUAUAUAUAUAUAUAUAUAUAUACUGUUGCAGCGCGCAGCCCGAUCCAAUAUAAUAUAUAAAAUGUUGCGCUCACUGGGGGUGUGUACAGACUCUGGAGGGGCUCCUUCAGCCCAAACGCUAAAAUACUGCGGUGUGCAGUCCGAUCCAUAUAAUAUAGUACUACGACGUGCAGUCCGAUCCAUAUAAUAUAAUACUGCAGCGUGUAGUCUGAUCCAUAUAAUAUAAUACUGCGGCGUGCAGCCCGACCCGAUAUAUAUGUAUAUAUAUCAAAUAGCCUCGCCAUAGGGUCCUUGUCCCCUCUCAGUCAAUAUAGACUUGUCCUCUCGGGCCCACUCAGCUAAGACAGGGUAUUCAACCUUAGGUAUUGCUCAUUUAUGGUGCAAGUUGCAAAGUCCGAUUUAUUUCAUGAUUUACAAGCAAAGUUAGGAAAGCUGGUAUGUGUCCAAUAGGUAAAGUGAGGUCAAACAUCUCAACAUGCUCCCUAGGAGUUCUACAGAUCGGCACAAGGCCCCAAACAUGGCAACUAGCCCAAAAUAUACGAGCACAAGCUCAUUCUCAGUCAAGAAGUACAGUAAGACACCAAUCGGGAUGGACCAAGUCCGACUCCCCAGCAGAUAUAUCACCAUGCUCAUCACGAGAUGCAUGUCUCAGCUCAACAUAGCACCGCAUAGUGCAAAUACGGGGUUUCUAACCCUCAGUAUAUCAUUCAUAGCCAUUACUCACCUCAAACCGGCCAAAAUCCUAGCUCGCCUUGCGCUUUCUUGCGAAUCGAUAUCCUCGGGUGCAAAUCUGACCAAAACCACAAGGAAUAUGUCAUAAUAGGCUAAUAGAAUAAAAAACAAUAGAAAGGACUCGAAAAGCACCCAAAAAUACGAAGUUGGCAAGACUCGAGCCCCGGGCUCACUUCUCAAAAAAUUACAAAAUUUACAUCUUCGGAAUCCUCGUCUUGCCAUGAGUCCGUAUAUAUAAAUUUCAUCAAAAUCGGAGUCCAAAUGGGCCAUCAAAUCCCUAAUUUUCAUUUCAAAAACCAAACUCUAGUUUCUUCAAUUUUCCCCCAUAUUUUCAGAGAAUUAAUGUAUGAUUCUUCAAUACAAUCACAUAAUUAGCUCAUAAAUCUUACCUCAAGUCAAAACCUAGGUGAAAUCCUCUUACUACCUCGUCCAAUAGCUCCAAAAUGUGCUCAACAAUGGUGGAAAUUGAUAUUAGCUCGCGGAUAAAAUGUUUAUAAACCCUUAUGUCCGCCCAGAAAAUCCCUUCAUCACGUUCGCGACUCUAGCCACGCGAACGCGAUGCUUUAUCUGAUCUAUCUCCCAGGCCCUCAUACGCAAAAGCGACCCUCACAACGCGAACGCGAUGGCCCACUCCCCUGGCCUACGUGAACGCGUCACCAUAUCACGCGAACACGAUCAAGAAGACUCCACUACUACGCGAUCGCGGCCUCUCCUUCGCUAACGCGAAGGCAAAAAUCCAGGCUCCCAGAUUCCCUCUACGCGUUCGCGUCCACCACCCCGCGAAAGCGAUGCCUUAUGGUCUGCAACACUUAUGAUAGAAAAAUAUGAUCUUUAUACAAGCUAAAAAUGAUCCGUUUGAACCUCUGAAAUCACCCCGAGGCCACGGGACCCCAACCAAAACCACCAAUCUACUCCAUAUCAUCAUACGAACAUGUCCGAAUCAUUAAAAACACAACCUUUAACACGAAAAUCAUCAAAUCAAGACGGAUUCAAGCCUAAGUUCAACUAUAACUUCCGAAUCUCACAUUCGACCAAAAACCCGACCAAACAACAUCCGAUUGACUUGAAAAUUUACACAGAUAUCCAAAAUCACGUAACAAAGCUACUGCAACCCUCAGAAUUCCAUUCUGACCCUCGGAUCAAAAUCUCACCUAUCAAUCGGAAUUCACCGAAAUUCAACUUAGCCAAUUCAAGCCAAAUUCUGCACCAGACCUCCAAAUUCAGUUCCGAUUUCACUCCCAAGUCAUAAAUCACCACUCGAAACUAGCGGAAUCAUCGGAGAUCUAUUCCGAUCCCUUUAAAUCAUAAGUCAACAUUCGAUUGACUUUUCCAAACUAGCCUUAUCUUAAAAAGACUAUUUGUCUCAAAUCCAACCAUUCUCUGACCGAAUCACUUCAAACUCUACAAAUACAUAUAUUGUAGCAUAAACCGGGAAAAACGGGACGGUAGCUCACGUGUCGAUGGGCCGGGUCAUCACAAGUUUUCAAUAACGGAGUGUUACCUUGCCUACUUGAAGAUCGCAUCACUUCAUUCCAGCUACCCUUAGUUUUUCUCUUUGUUAUCCCAUCAACUUUAGUAAAUGAUUUUGGGGAUACCUAGUGGCGGAUCUAGGAUUUUUGGUUCGUGGGUGCUUAAUUUUUUUUGACAAAAAAUAUUAUCAAUUACAUCAUAUAAAUGCAUAACUAUUUGAACACAGUGAUAAUAAACUACUGAGAAAACUCAUUCAGUAGUAUUAAUAUGGACAUCGUGGAACUAUGAUGAAUAACACAAUUGGUCUUCAAAAAGGAUCUAACUUCGGAUUCCUUUUUAAGUAGUUUUUCUUUCUUUACUAUAGUGAUUUACAACAACAACAACAACAACCCAGUAUAAUCCCACUUAGUGGGGUCUGGGGAGGGUAGUNNN